GACAGAGGGUGCAAACGUUGUUCGGAAUUACUGGGCGUAAAGCGCGUGUAGGCGGUUGGGUAAGUCGGAUGUGAAAGCCCCGGGCUCAACCCGGGAAGUGCAUUCGAUACUACUUGGCUAGAGUACUGGAGAGGAUGGUGGAACUCUCGGUGUAGAGGUGAAAUUCGUAGAUAUCGAGAAGAACACCGGCGGCGAAGGCGGCCAUCUGGACAGAUACUGACGCUGAGACGCGAAAGCGUGGGGAGCAAACAGGG
rnacentral:rRNA from 1 species